rnacentral:lncRNA from 1 species
UUUAAGGAAGGCUUGGUUUGGAUGAGGAAUCUGUGGGAGUCAGGUUGUUGGAGGGAAUUUAGGUACGUUUGGGUGCCUGUGAUUGACUGUUUCAAAGCGCAUAUUCUGGUCGCGUGACGCUCGUCAUGGGCCUGUGACGGCCGUCCCAGUCUGGGUCGUGACGAGCGUCAUGAAUCUGUGACGGUCGUCACAUCAACAAAUUCUGCAUAUUCUGUUUUCUGCUUUUUCCUGUGCUUUCUCAUCUGUUUCUUCUUCUUUUUC